rnacentral:sRNA from 1 species
AUUUAUUUUAUUUUAUUUUAUGUAAAUAAUUCCUUACAAAUCUAUUGAGCAAUUUAAAUCAAUGCACUUAAUUUUUCUCUUGUAAAUUUGGUAGUUCAACCGGCCUAUCACUUGGUCAUCGAAAAAUGAGAGAGUUAGGAAAAUUCGAAUUUAAUUAUGCAUAGAAAAUGGAUAGAAAAUGGAUAGAAGACUAAACUAAGACCAUCUCCAAUGGUUGUCUCUAUUUUUUCCUCAAUAUUAGAGGGAAAAAUAGAGAUCUCUACUUUUACUCCAAUGGUUCCUCAAAAAUAGAGUUCUCUAUUUGUUAAACCAUUUCCAAUGGUUGUCUCUAUUUUUUCUUGUAAAUAUAGAAGAAAAAAUAGAGAUUUCUAUUUUUACUCUAAUGGUUUCUCAAAAUAGAGAUCUCUAUUUGUUAGAAGGAAAAAAGGGGAAAAAAUAGAGAUCCCUAUUUUUUAUCUCUAUAUAUAGAGAAAAAAUAGAGAUAGAGAUAAGAAUAGAGAUGGAUUGGAGUGAAAUAGAGGCAAAAAUAGAGUUUAGGGACAAAAAUAGGGAUGGGUUGGAGAUUCCCUAAGGGCCGAGAAAGUUAUCACUUCAUACUACCGUGGGUUUUUUAAACCUUCCUAGUUUUGUUGAUGUUAUUCCGAGAAUUAGCAAACCGUAACGAAGAUGUUCUUGGCAACCAUCUUUUGAUGGGAGUCCGGCUGUUCGAAAGCCGGCCAAGGGUGAUGAACGAAAUGUGAACCCUUGUCUCGCCUAGGUUGGAUGGGCGUGCUUCGUUGGAAAGCAUGGAUCCGCCUAGGCUGUCCCGAAGGUAUCUCGCGCUUGUACGGCUUUGGCUCGGAUUCGUCCGUCUUCUUUCUUCUUAGCCGAGUACUUCGGUAGAUUAGUUGGAACGAUUGAUGAUUUUGAGUUAAUUGAACGUUCGGCGUAUGAGUGGUGAUCGAAUAGCUAGUGUUCGUAGGCUCCAUGCUCGCGCAUCGAACUACCUACCACCUAUCCUUCUCAGUUAAUUCACGGGCGAUGUUACGCUCGAUGAUGAGUUCCGGGGCCUGUGUUUCGUACCUAAUUUGAAGGAAUUGUUGAGUUUGGUUUACACUUUUGCCCGCGGCUUCUCCUUCGUGGGGAAGUCGUGGGCACAAACAUCGGCGCUUGUUCACCUCUCGUCAUCGCAUUUGUUGCCUUGCUCGCAUUGGUGCUUUAGGCGGAAAGUGCUUGGCUAAACA